CGUCGAUAACGCGCGAAUCGCGUGUUGCCGACACGCGGAACAACGUGCGCCUACGUAUAAUUCAGGAUCUCCAAGUUAUUCGCAACAGAAUCUAAGAUCGACAGAUUGCAUGGUGCGCGAGGGACAGACGCGUUGCAUUGUACCGGCACGCAUGCACGCACGUACCAUGCACAAUUCAGGCAGCGCACACAACACCAACACCCCGACAAGACGUGAGACACGGACAUGGGUGCCUCUUUCUUUCGUGUAAAUCGAUGGGCACACUCGAUUUCACUGGCUUUCCCCGGUGGGCCUCUUUUUAUCGCGAAACACGUCACCGACGGUAGCUAUGGCUUUGCCAUGGUCUGAGGAUUACCAUGGGAUACGCACCUUCCGCACAGGGCCCUUGCCAGGGGCUGGCGAAUUUACAAUUUUCGGUCAAAAAAUCGUCGGGGCAUCAACCAAAGCAGAAUUUCAACAAUGGUGGCCGCUAGUGAGCGAGCCGCAUGCAAUGCUGACACCUUGCGGUGGCGGCGCGAAUUACGUUUCUAUCUUAUUCCCUCUUUCGUUAACCCCUUCUCGCUCAUUCGUUCACAGUACACAUCCUUCCUCAUGUAUGCACAAUCUUUUUUCCCCCCGAAUUCUCACUGCUAUUUUUUUUUUUUUUUUACUACUAUCCAAAUAUUUAGCAAUAAAAAUUUCAACUUAGAAACUCAGCUUAUUCUUUCAUCGUUUCUCAACUUGUAUUUCUCUGAAUGUAUUCUACAUUAAGCCGUUUAAUGAGAUCGUACGAAACAUACACAUACGUACGCAUUUUGAAUUUGUUUGUCAAAAGGAAAAUGUUACUAAAAAUAUUGCACUUUUGGUACUAGUAUCAUCGUUUCCGUUGAGAUAUAUCUAUUUGUCAAAGACAUACGUGAAAAAAAGCGUUGUUUGUAUCUUUUGUAAUUGUUCGUGAAAUAGAAUUUGAAAUGUGAUUAGUCAUUUCAACGUUAAACAUUUCGUGUUUAAAUUUAUUCUCUAUGGAAUUGAUUGUUGACGCUGUUAGAGUUAUUCGUAACGUCGUCAAAAAUAAUUGAGAACUAAAAGCCACCCUUAACACCGCCCAUAUUCGCGAUUUCUAUUCGCAAAAUUUUCUUUCAUUAAAAUUCUGCCCAUAUAUCCGACACGCCAUAUAUAAUGUAGAAGCGCGUGUGUGUACUUUACUUGAAAAACUAUGGAUCAUUGAUCCGUAACUUAAAAAUAAGUGAAACUCGAAGUUAUUGCCGAAAGUAAAAAAUUAUCGUUAGUGUGUUUGAAAAUUCAAUAUAUACUAUAAUUCAGAAAU